rnacentral:misc_RNA from 1 species
GGAAGUAAAAAGUCGUAACAAGGUUUCCGUAGGUGAACCUGCGGAAGGAUCAUUAUUGAAUGAAACACUUCUGGCUUUAUGCUGUUGUGCUGGCCCUUUGGGCAAUGUGCACACGGCUCUGGUCACUUGUUUCUUCUGUUCCACCUGUGCACUGCCUGCAGACACGCUGUGUCUAUGAUAUUUGUUAACACACAACAAUGUUAGUUGGCAUGUUAUAUAUAAUAAUAAAAUAUACAACUUUCAACAACGGAUCUCUUGGCUCUC